rnacentral:tRNA from 2 species
GCGUCCAUGGCUCAAUUGGAUAGAGCAUCUGACUACGGAUCAGAAGGUUGGGGGUUCGAAUCCUCCUGGACGCGCCA